rnacentral:lncRNA from 1 species
UAAACCUCUCGUGUUGAGCAGCUCGCUCAAACGCAUCUGGGUUCUCAGCGUCUUCGACAGUGACGCACUGACGUCGGCCUGAAGCAUUGGUAUCAAGUUAAGAUGUACUUAAGGCUGCCUCGUCUGGAUGUUCCUGUAUAGCAUUCCGCAUUGUUUUAGGGUUUGCCUGUUUUUCUUUAGGAAAAGCACCUCCGCGCGCCUGACAAUACGGGUCGCGCAUACGGGUAGACAACUCAGGAACAAACGCUGAUGGUGUCUUAUCUCAUCCAGGACUUCUGGUACGGGAUGUAAGCGACGUAACAUAUCGGGAAGCUGGGGGUUUGGCAGGGCCUUCCAGCUUUCACGGAUUGGACCUGAAAUGGGCCUGCCACAACUAAUGGCCAAACAAACAGGAAUUGGCGGUUGUUAGGCAAUGAUGCAAAGGCCGUCGCUGCAGCGGUGGUUGCUUUUUUAGCUGUUUGUGCUUUUCUACCAG